rnacentral:rRNA from 1 species
UACAGGGGGUGCAAACGUUGCUCGGAAUCAUUGGGCGUAAAGCGCACGUAGGCGGUUCGUUAUGUCGGAUGUGAAAGCCCUUGGCUUAACCGAGGAAGUGCAUCCGAAACUGGCGAGCUAGAGUACGAAAGAGGAUCGCGGAAUUCCCGGUGUAGAGGUGAAAUUCGUAGAUAUCGGGAGGAACACCUGUGGCGAAAGCGGCUCACUGGACCAUAACUGACGCUGAGGCGCGAAAGCGUGGGGAGCAAACAGG